UACGGAGGGGGCUAGCGUUGUUCGGAAUUACUGGGCGUAAAGCGUGCGCAGGCGGUGAUGUAAGACAGAUGUGAAAUCCCCGGGCUCAACCUGGGAACUGCAUUUGUGACUGCAUCGCUGGAGUGCGGCAGAGGGGGAUGGAAUUCCGCGUGUAGCAGGUGAAAUGCGUAGAUAUGCGGAGGAACACCGAUGGCGAAGGCAAUCCCCUGGGCCUGCACUGACGCUCAUGCACGAAAGCGUGGG
rnacentral:rRNA from 1 species